GGCUUUGCAAUGAGCCCUGUGUGAAAUCUGUCAGAAAAACAUCAAAAUUUCAGGGAGAGAAAGGAAGGCUCUCCUAAUGCAUGACAGAAUUGCCCACAGUGGCCUCUCUGUUCCUGGGAGUGCAACCCCU
ensembl:snoRNA